CAGUCGCCGCGGGAAUACAGAGGGUGCGAGCGUUAAUCGGAUUUACUGGGCGUAAAGCGUGCGUAGGCGUCUUUUUAAGUCGGAUGUGAAAUCCCUGAGCUUAACUUAGGAAUUGCAUUCGAUACUGGGAAGCUAGAGUAUGGGAGAGGAUGGUAGAAUUCCAGGUGUAGCGGUGAAAUGCGUAGAGAUCUGGAGGAAUACCGAUGGCGAAGGCAGCCAUCUGGCCUAAUACUGACGCUGAGGUACGAAAGCAUGGGGAGCAAACAGGAUUAGAUACCCCAGUAGUCCCUGUCUCUUAUAC
rnacentral:rRNA from 1 species